UCAGGCCAGGAAGUCUAAAGGACAAGCAAUUUAUGUGCAGACAUUCCCUCAUGCCUUGUCUUUCACUGGUAAGAGUUCACAAAUUUUGUCCACUUCUCUCACAUCUGAGUUGCAUCAACUAAGCACCCUGGAGCUUCUGGAGCUUCAUUCCAGGCAGUGUGUGGCUGCAGUGGUCUCUUCCUUAGUUGGUGAUGUCUGUUGAAGCUUCUCCUCUGUGGGGAUAACCCCAGCAGAAACGGACUUUGGACUGCAGCAGUGGAAGGAGCUGUUGCUAGGAUAUUCCUGGUUAGGGGAGAAGGAACAAAGCAAAGCCAGGCUCUGGGGGCAAUAAGUGAGAAAGAGUGGAUCUGAAUGGCACAUGAACUGGACCUGGUAUAUUCAUUUACUCGUUAAUGAAGUAAAGUUGGAUGUUAAAGUUAAGCCCACUUCCUAAAGGUAUAGAAAGUUGUGCCCUACCUCUCUUAAUAAGAGCCUUUCCUCAUUUUAGAAUUUCAUAGACUGGUGGGACUGGAAAUGUCUGUGCAAAUCAUUUAAUUCAGCCUCUAUAUUUUUCAGAUGAGAAGCACAAGCUCUAGAAAGUUGAAGUGACACUCUCAAGUCAAACAGUAAAUGCGGAAGCAAGAAGGCCUGCCUUCAUUCCAAUCCUCAUUCCAUAACAUCACACUGAGGUCGUGCCCCUAGGAGCAGCAGAAUUGGAGCUUCGGUUCGCACACUUGAUUCACUAUUUCUCCCUCUUGGAUCUUGUCUUCCCAAAACCUUGCAGGGUCGUGUGGGAAAGACAAUAUAUCUUCUUAUGCUGAGGAUGGAGCAAAACUCGGAGGGAAGAGCCGGGAGAACACAGAGCAGAGGAGAUGAGCCAGGUGGACUCUGCCUGAGGCCACACUGCAGAGACCUCUUUGAGUGAAGGACACCAACAGAUACAACAGGUGGUAAAGAAGACAAAAAUUUAAAGAGAUGAUGAUAGAAAACAAGAAGAAACACAGCAUGGAGGUUUGGAGGCUUGGUACGCCCUGAAGUCUCCCCUGGGUUUCUCCCACGGAAU
rnacentral:lncRNA from 1 species